UGGGGAAUAUUGCGCAAUGGGGGAAACCCUGACGCAGCAACGCCGCGUGAGUGAAGAAGGCCUUCGGGUCGUAAAGCUCUGUCUUCAGGGACGAGAAAAGACGGUACCUGAGGAGGAAGCCACGGCUAACUACGUGCCAGCAGCCGCGGUAAUACGUAGGUGGCGAGCGUUGUCCGGAAUUACUGGGCGUAAAGGGUGCGUAGGCGGGUUUUUAAGUCAGAUGUGAAACCCCCGGGCUUAACCUGGGGAUUGCAUUUGAAACUGGGGACCUAGAGUGCAGGAGAGGGAAGCGGAAUUCCUAGUGUAGCGGUGAAAUGCGUAGAUAUUAGGAAGAACACCAGUGGCGAAGGCGGCUUUCUGGACUGUAACUGACGCUGAGGCACGAAAGCGUGGGGAGCAAACAGG
rnacentral:rRNA from 2 species